rnacentral:lncRNA from 1 species
UGGGGGGGGGGAACAGGGAGGGUGAAAACCACCCAGCGGAGCCGCCGGGGCGGGGAGGAAACCUGCGCCAGGAGCCACGUGCUGGAGCCGGCGCUGGGUGGGUGGCUCGGGGAGCGGUGGGGGAGGGAGAGGCCCUUGCUGGGAAAGGCCCCAGGCCACGUUUCUGGGGGAGGAGAAGAACCGCGGGUGGACACCCUGGGCCCCAGGCCACCAGGGAACCUUCACCUCCGUCUGGAUAAUGCAGCCCAGAUCUCUUUGAUGGGAGCAGCUCUGGCCAAGCCCUGCCUGCUUGGGGUUGGACCUGAAGAAAUGCACUGGCCUAACCUAAUUGCCUUUUCGGACCUCGGUGGGACGGCGCUGGGGCUGGGACGGGAGGCUCUCCCACCUCACACCCUUCAAAGGGGAUGUACGUCCAAGGGUCGAAGAAUUGGAGAGCCUAAGUAAACCCAGGGUGGUUGGCUGUCCAGGGAAGGUGGGGGGAGUCGUAGGAAGAAGAAAGGAAGCAUGCAAAAGAAGGAAGAAGCAUUUAAGCACGUGAUAAGGACAUAACUGCAGUCCUUGGAAAGGUGGAUUUCCUACUCCCUGGGAAUUUAAGCCAAAAUCCCCUCAGCAGAGAAAAUGGAUUAGCUGCAGGAAGGAAUGAGACACGUUGAGGAGUCUGGGCUGCUUCCGAGUGGAUGCUCAAGAAGGGCUAGAGACCCUUUAAGAAGCACCCACCUGCAGUGGCCUAAGUGGCACCUAGAAACUUCUGUAAACCCUUACGGUUUUUCCUGCCUAAUCAAUCAGGAAGGGAGAGGAGCCAGGAAGUCAAGGCAGCAAACCUCCACAGCUUUGCCAUGCUGUUCUUUCAAAGCCACAGCUCAACAAGUGAUGCCAGCCCAGGGAGGGGGUGUCGUCUGUGUCUCCUCUUGCAGGCGGAAGCAGCACCACAGCCGGGAGAACAAAACCCGUUUGGAUCUGUCCAGAGCUGUUUGUCAGUACUGCCUUCCAGGACCACGUGAGCUGCCUCUUGCCCCACGUGACCCUCAUUCAAACUCAGGGAGAACGAGAGCUCCCGGGCCCCUUCUCCUCGGACAGCCUAAUCCCACGUGUGCAGAUGGGUGGCUCAUUUCUGCCAGCUCAAAAUAACUCUGAGCCAGACUUCUGGGAAACCCUGUAGGCCAGGCCUCUGCAGAAGUUAAAAAUGACAGCUCCGGGGAACCAAGGGGUCUGAUUUGCUGAGGGGGAGACGAUGCUAGAGUCCUGUGACAUCAAAGGGCAGAAAUACUGGCUAGGAAUGGGUAUGGAAGGUGUUAGUAGCAGAAGGUCCUGGACCCUGUGUGGUUGCCCUUUGGGGAAACUGGUGGACUAGACUGAUGGGGGUUAUCCUGGGAGUUAAGGGCAGGUGCAGGAGGGGAGCUGUGGCCGGAUACGUAAGCCGCAAACACUGCAACCCCCAACUUCCACUUUUUUUUUUUUCUUUAAUGCAUACUGAGAACUCUCUUGGUAGGAGCUGCCUCCUCCACUGUUUCAAAUUCUGAUUUCUCACAUCUCUAUCAGAGAGACAGUUGCCACCGUCUCUGUGAAGCUCUCUCUCAUCCCACGGUGUGUGGGCCUAGGCACUUGCACUGUAACUCUUCCCAGGCUUUGCUUGGCCUGAGAGGUUUUGCUGUUUUCAACUUCCCUCUCUACCCAGAGGCCUGCUGGGAGGCCCCGAGUUUCAUCUUUGCAGCUCCCUCUUGGCACAACUCCCGGGGAAGUGAGUUAGCUGUCAGCUCUGCCCCACGCUUGCUUGGCCCGAUAGCCUCCUUUGUGUCUAACGGCACUUCCUGUUUGCUGGGUUUUGACCCAACCUGCUCUUCAAGUGACGGUUUGGCCCAGCCUUUGGAACCCUGGCUCCUUAUCCUAAUUGACUCCUGGCAGCUCUUUAUCAGGAGGGGCCUAAACGCCUUCCCUUAGCAGGUGAAACUAGGGCAGAGGGUUGAUGGACCCUAAAGUGGGCCUCACUAAAGCCAGCCUGCCCAUUGUGUGUACAUGCACACCCAGGAACACAGGUGGGCCUCACUAACGCUCACAUGCCAUGUGUAAAUCCACAUUUAUACAAAAAAUAAAUGGGGCGCAUCCCUUCA